UGUGAUUUCCAUUUUUACGGUUUUUCAUCAUGAAAAUUGCAGUGUGCUUCUUAGAAAAGAGCACGUAAGAGAUCUUUAAGCCAAUGCUGAUCAUUCUCCAUGACGAAAGAAGGAUUUCCACCGACGUUCGGCUACAUCCUAAUCUUCCCGACGUACGAUCAUCCAGCUUCACUGCUUCAGUGCUUCUCAUGCUGAAAAACAACUUUUCUUGCUUCACUGGCGAGGCUGGAUCACUUCAGUUGC